ACUGGGGUAGCUCAGUCGGUAGAUCUUGAGACUCCUAAUCUCAAGCUCCUGGGUUCGAACCCUACAUUCCUGCA